UGGGGAAUAUUGGACAAUGGGCGCAAGCCUGAUCCAGCCAUGCCGCGUGAGUGACGAAGGCCUUAGGGUUGUAAAGCUCUUUUAACGGGGAAGAUAAUGACGGUACCCGUAGAAUAAGCUCCGGCUAACUUCGUGCCAGCAGCCGCGGUAAUACGAAGGGGGCUAGCGUUGUUCGGAAUUACUGGGCGUAAAGAGCACGUAGGCGGUUUAUUAAGCUAGAUGUGAAAUCCCUGAGCUUAACUCAGGAACUGCAUUUAGAACUGGUAGGCUAGAGAGUGUUAGAGGUUGGUAGAAUUCCUAGUGUAGGGGUGAAAUCCGUAGAUAUUAGGAGGAAUACCGAUGGCGAAGGCAGCCAACUGGGACAUUUCUGACGCUGAGGUACGAAAGCGUGGGUAGCAAACAGG
rnacentral:rRNA from 1 species